AUCGCAUGGUGGGGGUUGUAAAGAUUUUUUGGUCUGGGAUGGGCUCGCGGCCUAUCAGCUUGUUGGUGAGGUAAUGGCUCACCAAGGCGUCGACGGGUAGCCGGCCUGAGAGGGUGACCGGCCACACUGGGACUGAGACACGGCCCAGACUCCUACGGGAGGCAGCAGUGGGGAAUAUUGCACAAUGGGCGAAAGCCUGAUGCAGCAACGCCGCGUGAGGGAUGACGGCCUUCGGGUUGUAAACCUCUUUUAGCAGGGAAGAAGCGAAAGUGACGGUACCUGCAGAAAAAGCGCCGGCUAACUACGUGCCAGCAGCCGCGGUAAUACGUAGGGCGCAAGCGUUAUCCGGAAUUAUUGGGCGUAAAGAGCUCGUAGGCGGUUUGUCGCGUCUGCUGUGAAAUCCCGAGGCUCAACCUCGGGCCUGCAGUGGGUACGGGCAGACUAGAGUGCGGUAGGGGAGAUUGGAAUUCCUGGUGUAGCGGUGGAAUGCGCAGAUAUCAGGAGGAACACCGAUGGCGAAGGCAGAUCUCUGGGCCGUAACUGACGCUGAGGAGCGAAAGGGUGGGGAGCAAACAGGCUUAGAUACCCUGGUAGUCCACCCCGUAAACGUUGGGAACUAGUUGUGG
rnacentral:rRNA from 1 species